CUUUUUAUAUUCCAAAACUAAACAGAAAAAAAAGCUUUAAACAAAAAAAAAAACUAUUCUCUUCAUUCUAUCUCGAUCUACUCCUCCACCAUUAGACGACUCAGACGACUUGCUUCUCCUCUUUUAAACCCAACCGCCUCUCUUCCCACUUCUCUUAAUCCGAUAUCAAAUCUCAAAUUACCCUCUAUUUCUCCAAUAUCAGAUCCAUAGUUCUAGAAGUAAUCAAAGCUUCAAGACAUACCAAGUUUCUACUAGAUCUAUACAUGGAUUUAUUCUGCUGGGAUUCUCAGACAUGGGUUCACGACUGUUGUCUUGAAGCCUAGUGAUAAACUUUUAUCUUCUCCUCCAAUGGCGGUCAAAUCCAAUCGCCUCCUCCAUUUGCGCAACGAAGAAGAAGAAGAAGACCACAAAAGCCAUUCAGAUCUUUAUGGCGUCUUCUCUUACUUUCAAAUCCAUUCUCGGAUCCACCAAACCCGGUUCUUCUUCUCUUCCUUCGGAGCUCCGUCGUCUAUCUUCUCCCGCCGUUCAGAUCUAUCUCCGUACCCAAACUAGGAAAAACUUUCGUGAGUUCUCUGAUUAUUUUCGAAAAUUUUAGAUUCAAUCCUUUGCAUAAAGAAGAAAGAUGUGUAAUUUGAAUCUUUAGGGCAGUUCUGAUUGAUUGAAUUGAUUCACAUUUCCGCUAAAACAGAAAAGGAGAAAUGGAAAUUAUGACUCACUAAGACUUAGACACGAAAAGCAUCUGACAAACAAGAGUACAACUUUUGAUUAUUCAAUGAUAUGUGAAGUAAGAAAAAGAGUACAGCUUUUGAUUUGUGAGUUUCGUACAUGGAAAUUUACAACGAAGAAAUUGACGAUCUUUUAGGUGUUGACUGUUGAGAACCAGAGACUACAAAUUCAUGAACAUUUGGAGGUUGGUUUUGAUUAUUUUCAUCAGUAAUAUCUUCUUCAUUAGUUUGCUUAUGAGUGUUUAAAUUCUCUUGCUUUCUCUUGAUGUACAACGUGGAGUGUUUGUUGCUGGUCUUAAGAAAGAAAUUAUUAGUGACGCUGAACAGAUUUUAAAGCUUAUAGAUUUUGGAUAAGCUUUUAAAGGCAAAGCUUUACUAAGAAGUAUUUGUUUACCUACAUUUUUGUAUGUCUAAUGUGUAUUGACUUGGUCUUGUUCAAUUAACAGUUAAUAGGCACUUUGGCAAGACAAACAUGAAUGUUCAUAUUAGCAGAUAUCACACCAUCUUCAAAAUGGUAUGGUUCAUAAGCUAUCAACGGAACCUUCUACAUUUUAAAGUUUUUAAUCUGAUACAAUCUCUAUGGUGUGAUAGGUGAUUGAGAGCAGGGGAAAAGAUAAUAGUUCUUCAGAUGCUAUUUGUGGUGGAUGCAGAUCUUCUGCUAGAGACACCAUUGAAAGAGUUGCUCCUGAGCUUUGGCAAGAAAAUUUUGAAGCAAUUUGCAGGAACUGAGGUUAAGUGAGAGGAUGGUUUCAAAGACUUGUUUUCGUCAUGUGAUAAGAAUGUUGUGAGGCUUAGGUACGAGAUAACACAUUCUACGGGUAUAAAGAAGCUAGUUUAAGAAGAUGAUGAUUUUGAAGGCUUUAAGAAGUUUUUUAUUUUCCCCUUGUGAUGUUAGUUUUAGUUUGUUUAAGACUAGGCAGCAUUUUAGUAAUAAGUAUAAGACUUAAUAUGAUGUUAUGUAUGACUUGUUUGGUUAAUGAAAUAUUUACUUCUUGAUGAU